GAUGAACGCUGGCGGCGUGCCUAAUACAUGCAAGUCGAGCGAACAGACGAGGAGCUUGCUCCUCUGACGUUAGCGGCGGACGGGUGAGUAACAAGUGGAUAACCUACCUAUAAGACUGGGAUAACUUCGGGAAACCGGAGCUAAUACCGGAUAAUAUAUUGAACCGCAUGGUUCAAUAGUGAAAGACGGUUUUGCUGUCACUUAUAGAUGGAUCCGCGUCGGAUUAGCUAGUUGGUAAGGUAACGGCCUACCAAGGCAACGAUGCGUAGCCGACCUGAGAGGGUGAUCGGCCACACUGGAACUGAGACACGGUCCAGACUCCUACGGGAGGCAGCAGUAGGGAAUCUUCCGCAAUGGGCGAAAGCUUGACGGAGCAACGCCGCGUGAGUGAUGAAGGUCUUCGGAUCGUAAAACUCUGUUAUUAGGGAAGAACAAAUGUGUAAGUAACUAUGCACGUCUUGACGGUACCUAAUCAGAAAGCCACGGCUAACUACGUG
rnacentral:rRNA from 1 species